rnacentral:piRNA from 1 species
UGGGCGAGCUCAACGAGCAGCUGGGAAUGC